GCUUACGUGACACCCGUUGCUCUUGGCUGCCAUUACGCCACACCCUUGGAGAAGAGCUCAAAGGCGAGACGACCGUUGCUCCGAAGCUCAACUCCGGCCGCCGGAUCAUAGCCAUUUUCUUAGGAUUUUCGGGCGAGACCCCCGGAUCACCAACCACCGGAUCGAAGCCAUCAAAGGAGGAAGGCUAGAGUCCUCAGAUCUAGGCUGAUCUUCAACCAUUGAAGGACUAGACAACAAAUCAACCAUCCAGCAAUUGAAUCCACGCAAAAGGGUAGUUUGUUGAUCAUUAAGGAAAGGAAGAUGGAGGAAGGGAUGCAGUGAGGCCUACAAGCUCAAGUAGUUCAUUGAAAUCCAUGCCUGACAGAGUUAAUUAGGAACAUGUGCUCACAGGUGGCCAUGGACUUAUGGUGCAAGGUUAUUAUUCUCUAAUAAAUGCUCUUGCCAAGGACCUUGAUAUCCGUCUAAAUCAUAGGUAUGUAUUUAUGACCACAAGUAUUGACACUGAU